rnacentral:rRNA from 1 species
UACCAGCUCUCCGAGUGGUGUGGAUGUUUAUUGGGCCUAAAGCAUCCGUAGCUGGCUGGGCAAGUCCCCUGUUAAAUCCACCGAUUUAAUCGUUGGUGUGCGGGGGAUACUGCUCGGCUAGGGGACGGGAGAGGCCGACGGUAUUUUCGGGGUAGGGGUGAAAUCCUAUAAUCCCGGGAAGACCACCAGUGGCGAAGGCUGUCGGCUAGAACGCGCCCGACGGUGAGGGAUGAAAGCUGGGGGAGCGAACCGGAUUAGAUACCCGGGUAGUCCCAGCUGUAAACGAUGCAGGCUAGGUGUUUGGGCGGCCACGUGCCGCUCUAGUGCCGCAGAGAAGUCGUUAAGCCUGCCGCCUGGGGAGUACGGCCGCAAGGCUGAAACUUAAAGGAAUUGGCGGGGGAGCACCACAAGGGGUGAAGCUUGCGGUUU